GACGAGCCACACGAACGUUAUUCGGAAUUACUGGGCGUAAAGGGCGCGUAGGCGGCGUGGUAAGUCACUUGUGAAAUCUCUGAGCUUAACUCAGAACGGUCAAGUGAUACUGCUGUGCUAGAGUGCGGAAGGGGCAAUCGGAAUUCUUGGUGUAGCGGUGAAAUGCGUAGAUAUCAAGAGGAACACCUGAGGUGAAGACGGGUUGCUGGGCCGACACUGACGCUGAUGCGCGAAAGCCAGGGGAGCAAACGGG
rnacentral:rRNA from 1 species